GUCGGCGUGAGGCGGGAGGAGCGGGGGCUGGGGGGGGGGCUGUGCUCAAGAGAAUGCGUUGGAGUUUGGGGACUUCAAGGAGGGACAAAUUGAGAAAAAUGAAGACACGUGUAGAGCAGGGGUUUCUGGAAGAAAGUCGAAUCCGCAGGGUGGCUGGGGUGGGCAGAGGGGUGAGGGAGGAGGUCCGGAGAGGUGUGAGGAGGCAGCGGGAAGGCGGGCGCAGGAACCCUCAAAGGGACGCGGCGGGGCCAGGAGCCUGCCCAGGCCACACUGGGCUCUGAGCGGCAGGCACCGUCCUGUGGGGGGGGCUUCGCUCAAGCUGGGGGGUUUCCUUUGGCAGACAAGUCGGAGAGAAUGGGUUAAGAUGGGAAGGAACUGGAAGAUAAACAGGGCCAUCGGUGGCAACAUGGAGGGAAGGUCGUGGAUGGAGAAAGAGGAGUAUGAGGGGGAGACUGAAAUGCGGGGUGCGGGCCCUGGGCAGCCAAGGCCUACAACAAGAGGGGCCGUGGUCCGCAGGCUCCUCCUCCUCCUGCCACCUCCAUGCUCCUCCUCAGAGCGGUUUGAAGUCGUCACUCUGGUAUCUGAGGUCACAAGGAAGGGGUCAGGUGGGGAUUGGGCCCGCGUGGCCCGCCUCCCCCCAUACGGCAGGCUUUUCCCAGCCUGGCCUUUCCCCUCCACUGCUCCGCAGGCUGUCGGUGCCGGCCACCCCCGUCUUCACCCUUGAAGCCGGCACCCCCACCAUCCACCGCCAGUGCCCUCUUCUGGGCUCCCUCCCUGGCCUCACACCAAGCAGCAACAUCUCCCAGGACAAAGGACACCAGAAAGACGGGGCAAUUUUUGGCUGCUGAAAUUGGGAAGGCCGGAGAAAAGGAGGGAGGCAGGCUGGGAAGCAGGAAGAGCUGGAGCUGGAGUCUGGACUGGGAAACCUGGUUCCUUAGGCCAGACUCAUCCAAGUUCUGGGAGCACUGAAACACUCUAAACAGAUUGCAAAGCGCUGGGGAGCAAGGAACAAGAGCAAGAAUGCCCCCUCUGCCUGGGAAUGAAUCAUCACUCUGAAGUCUUCCCGGGGCCGCCGGACUCACUUUACGGCCUGUGCCCACCUCCCUGGCCCCUCGGACCACCCCCUGUCCCCUGCCUCCCUCCUGCGCGGCUCUACACCCUCUGCUCCUCCACCCCCAUUGUAGUUCCAAGGCUCCUCCUUCCCCCUGCGCCCUCUCCCCGUUGGUUUCCUCCCUUUCUGACCCUCAGUUCAGCCUCUCACUGGGCCCUGGCCCAGGCCCUUCCCAAAUCCCUUUCUGUCUGAGCUUUUCUCCCUUGUUUUUUAAGCUCUAAAACAUGGACCAGGAUGGUUCCUUAUCUGAGCCUAAAAACAAAUUAGUCAGAGGUAGGGACAGGGCACGGAGAGUGUGGAAGGGAAGCCAGGGCCUAGCCCCUCCGAUUCCUCCCUUACCUGAGGCCAGGCUCACAACUCUGGCGCACACACCCACACAGCCCCACCGUCCACCAGCCCCACUCAGGCCCCAGCCCCCCACAACCACUGGUCUCCAGGCAACGGCACAAAAGGAAAGUGGAGAGAGGGGCCUGGGAGGCCCAGGCAGAGCUAGCUGUAACCCAAUCCAACCCAGUACCUGUCAGAGGAGGCGACCUGGGGAAGAAAGAACCGGGGUUCGGAAAGGUGGCUCCAACUACACUAGUUCUGCUAGCCUGAGGGUUACUGAGGAAGGCUGGGGUCGUGGACCCCAGAGAAAACAGC
ensembl:lncRNA